CAGUCGCCGCGGUAAUACGAAGGGUGCAAGCGUUACUCGGAAUUACUGGGCGUAAAGCGUGCGUAGGUUGUGGUUUAAGUCCGUUGUGAAAGCCCUGGGCUCAACCUGGGAAUUGCAGUGGAUACUGGGUCACUAGAGUGUGGUAGAGGAUAGUGGAAUUUCCGGUGUAGCAGUGAAAUGCGUAGAGAUCGGAAGGAACAUCUGUGGCGAAGGCGACUAUCUGGGCCAACACUGACACUGAGGCACGAAAGCGUGGGGAGCAAACAGGAUUAGAUACCCGGGUAGUCCCUGUCUCUUAUAC
rnacentral:rRNA from 1 species